AACGAACGCUGGCGGCAGGCCUAACACAUGCAAGUCGAGCGAGGACUUCGGUUCUAGCGGCGGACGGGUGAGUAACGCGUGGGAAUGUGCCCUUCUCUACGGAAUAGCCCUGGGAAACUGGGAGUAAUACCGUAUACGCCCUAUUGGGGAAAGAUUUAUCGGAGAAGGAUCAGCCCGCGUUGGAUUAGGUAGUUGGUGGGGUAAUGGCCUACCAAGCCGACGAUCCAUAGCUGGUUUGAGAGGAUGAUCAGCCAGACUGGGACUGAGACACGGCCCAGACUCCUACGGGAGGCAGCAGUGGGGAAUCUUAGACAAUGGGGGCAACCCUGAUCUAGCCAUGCCGCGUGAGUGAUGAAGGCCUUAGGGUUGUAAAGCUCUUUCAGCUGGGAAGAUAAUGACGGUACCAGCAGAAGAAGCCCCGGCUAACUCCGUG
rnacentral:rRNA from 1 species